GAAGGUAUAACUCAGUGGUAGAGUGCAUGCCUAGCAUGCAUGUGGUCCUGGGUUCAGUCCCUAGAACCUCCA
rnacentral:tRNA from 1 species